CCUACGGGUGGCAGCAGUGGGGAAUAUUGCACAAUGGAGGAAACCCUGAUGCAGCGACGCCGCGUGAGUGAAGAAGUAUUUCGGUAUGUAAAGCUCUAUCAGCAGGGAAGAAAAUGACGGUACCUGACUAAGAAGCUCCGGCUAACUACGUGCCAGCAGCCGCGGUACUACGUAGGGAGCACGCGUUAUCCGGAUUUACUGGGUGUAAAGGGAGCGUAGACGGUGAGGCAAGUCAGCAGUGAAAGCCCGGGGCUCAACUCCGGGACUGCAGUUGAAACUGGGUGACUGGAGUGCAGGAGAGGUAAGCGGAAUUCCUGGUGUAGCGGUGAAAUGCGUAGAGAUCAGGAGGAACACCAGUUGCGAAGGCGGCUUACUGGACUGUAACUGACGUUGAGGCUCGAAAGCGUGGGGAGCAAACAGGAUUAGAUACCCUUGUAGUC
rnacentral:rRNA from 1 species